rnacentral:lncRNA from 1 species
CAAAUUAAUUGAUUAUCAAACACCACCACAGGUGGAAAAACGGGUUGAGAAACUCCAAGCAUUCAAAUGCUCCACCACAAUUGAUCAGUGUAUGAAAUUUUUGACAUUUUUAUGCUGUUUGGAACAACAUUAAUGAAAUUAAUGGAAAAAAAAAUAUCCAAAAAUACAUAAACAAAAAAAAAAGAACAUUGAUGAAAUUAGAAGUACUAAAAUCAACAAGAACAUAGAUGCAUAGGUGCUAAAUUACAUCCCACUUUAAAAGUACUAAACAUCCCACAUUAAAAAUUAACCCUCAAACAACAACUAAAAGUAUCCAAAAUCACACAAGCAAAAAAAAAAGAACAUGAAUGAAAUUAAAAGUAUUAUUUUAGACCAAAUUUAGUGUGGUUGAGUGUAUUGUAACACCAUGCAACCUAAAAAAUGAAGUAUAAAAUGAAUAAAAUCAAGUAUUCUAAUAUUACGAGACGAGACAGGAUUUUUCGGGAUAGUCUCGUCCCGUUAUGGUAAUGUUAAAACGGGACGGGACGGGACGGGAUUGCUAUUUUCAAAACCUAUCUCGUCCCGUCCCGCUAACUUUCGGGACGGGAGCGGUACGGGAUCGGGAUUCCGGUACUAAGUGCCCAGCCCUACUUUAUGCUGGAGUUGGGAAUUCAACGUCUUUGGCAAUGAGAUUCAGGCAACGUCCUUUCUCCUCGAAGAAUACCUUUCUCGAUAGCGUAGCGUACCAUACUUCAAAUCGUAUAAAACCUUCUUGAAUAAUCGAGGUUGACCACACCACCCACAGCGAUCAGUGGUUUAAAAUUCGAAGCUUGCAGGUCUCAUGUCCUCGUCAAAUUGUUUGUGACUUUGGGCGAUUGAUUGAGGUCCAAGCGAGUUGAAGGCUAGCUAGAAAGAGAGGCAUUCGACGCACCCGAUCUCUCCCAAUUGAAGUGCGGAGUGGGUUAGACCAUUUGCCUUCGGGUUUGAGGGUGGGACUAGUUCUCUACAUUGUCUACCUUUGAGGAGCUAAUUAAUAUCGCCUAAUCAAUUAAAAAAAAAAAAAAAAAACAACAACGACAUAUAGGUGCGGAGGUGGCCAGAGAGGGUCAUUGUAUUGUUUCUUCUUUUAUGUAGUACUCUUAUAACCUUCAUGUUUCCUUCAUCAACAACAACAUAAUGUAGCUUGCAAGCUCCUUGCACUACCAGGACAAGCACUUUAGCCGACGAAAAUUUUUCGUCGGCCUGUCAGCUUAAUUCGUCGGCUAAGAUCUUAGCCGACGACCUUUCGUCGGCUUAGAUUUCGUCGGGAAAAGCUUGUCUGUGGUGACCUUAGCCGACGACACACGUAUAAGUCGUC